AAAAGUAAGGGAGGGCGUUGCAGAUCGAGGGAACUCGGUCUGAGGAAAGUCCGGACUCCCGAAAGACCAAACUUGCUGGGUAACGCCCAGUGCGAGCGAUCGUGAGGAGAGUGCCACAGAAACAUACCGCCGAUGGUGCAUUAAGCAUACAGGCAAGGGUGCAAGGGUGCGGUAAGAGCGCACCAGCAGUAUCGAGAGGUACUGGCUCGGUAAACCCCGGUUGGGAGCAAGGCAGAUGGAACAACGGUUGGUCUUUUACCUGUUCCAGGAUUAUGAACCGCUUGAGGCAUUUGGCAACAAAUGUCCCAGAUAGAUAACUCCCCCCAAGAUCUCUGUCGGGAUCUUGGAGAACAGAAUCCGGCUUAUGACUUACUUUUCCCC
rfam:Roseofilum reptotaenium AO1-A Rreptotaenium_AO1_contig_41_len_103700_cov_449.835, whole genome shotgun sequence.